GCGAGUCUGGCCGAGUGGUUAAGGCGUUGUGUUUAGGUUACGUCCAUUAAAUGGGUAUACGCUUGAACCGCAAUGGGCAUCGCCCGCGUAGGUUCGAUCCCUACGGCUCGCA